rnacentral:rRNA from 1 species
UACGGAGGGUGCGAGCGUUGUCCGGAAUCACUGGGCGUAAAGGGCGCGUAGGUGGCGGUCCAAGUCAACGGUGAAAGCUCGGGGCUCAACCCCGAGUCGGCCGUCGAUACUGGGUUGCUUGAGCACUGUAGAGGCAGAUGGAAUUCCGGGUGUAGCGGUGGAAUGCGCAGAUAUCAGGAGGAACACCAAUGGCGAAGGCAGCUCGCUGGGACGUGACUGACGCUGAGACGCGAAAGCGUGGGGAGCAAACAGG